AAUAUUGCACAAUGGUCGCAAGCCUGAUGCAGCGACGCCGCGUGAGCGAAGAAGGUUUUCUGAUCGUAAAGCUCUGUCCUCUGGGAAGAAAAAAAUGACGGUACCAGAGGAGGAAGCCCCGGCUAACUACUUGCCAGCACCCGCGGUAAUACGUAGGGGGCUAGCGUUGACCGGAUUUACUGGGCGUAAAGGGUGAGUAGGCGGUAACGUGUGUCAAGUGUUUAAUCUAUGGGCUCAACACAUAUCAGCAUUUGAAAAUACGUAACUUGAGUGCAGGAGAGGUAAGUGGAAUUCCUAGUGUAGCGGUGGAAUGCGUAGAUAUUAGGAGGAACACCAGUGGCGAAGGCGACUUACUGGACUGCAACUGACGCUGAGUCACGAAAGCGUGGGGAGCAAACAGG
rnacentral:rRNA from 1 species